rnacentral:rRNA from 1 species
UGGGGAAUCUUGCGCAAUGGGCGAAAGCCUGACGCAGCGACGCCGCGUGAGUGAUGAAGGCCUUCGGGUUGUAAAGCUCUGUGGGGAGAGACGAAUAAGUCAGGGCGAACAGUCCUGAUGAUGACGGUAUCUCCUUAGCAAGCACCGGCUAACUCUGUGCCAGCAGCCGCGGUAAUACAGAGGGUGCAAACGUUGUUCGGAAUUACUGGGCGUAAAGCGUGUGUAGGCGGCUUCGUAGGUCGGACGUGAAAGCUCUCGGCUCAACCGGGAAAGUGCGUUCGAAACCACGAAGCUUGAGUGUCGGAGAGGAAGGCGGAAUUGUCGGUGUAGAGGUGAAAUUCGUAGAUAUCGACAGGAACACCUGUGGCGAAAGCGGCCUUCUGGACGAACACUGACGCUGAGACACGAAAGCGUGGGGAGCAAACAG